UACAGAGGGGGCAAGCGUUGUUCGGAAUUACUGGGCGUAAAGGGCGCGUAGGCGGCCUUCUAAGUCAUGCGUGAAAUCCCCGGGCUCAACCCGGGAACUGCGUCUGAUACUGGAAGGCUUGAAUCCGGGAGAGGGAUGCGGAAUUCCAGGUGUAGCGGUGAAAUGCGUAGAUAUCUGGAGGAACACCGGUGGCGAAGGCGACAUCCUGGACCGGUAUUGACGCUGAGGCGCGAAAGCCAGGGGAGCAAACGGG
rnacentral:rRNA from 1 species